GAUGAACGCUGGCGGCGUGCCUAACACAUGCAAGUCGAACGAACGGACGAGAAGUUUGCUUCGCUGACGUGUGGCGCGCGGGGGAGUGAAACAUGGGGAUAACCCACCUAGAAGGGUGAGAUCACCGCGAGACAGCGGAGCUAAGACCGGAUAAUAUUGUGAACCGCAUGGGUCCAUAGGGAAAGACGGUCUUGGGGUGACUUAUAGCUGGAUCCGCGCUGCAUUAGCUAGUUGGUAAGGUAACGGCUUACCAAGGCAACGAUGAGUAGCCGACCUGAGAGGAUGAUCGGCCACACUGGAACUGAGACACGGCCCAGACUCCUACGGGAGGCAGCAGUAGGGAAUCUUCGGCAAUGGGCGAAAGCCUGACCGAGCAACGCCGCGUGUGUGAUGAAGGUCUUCGGAUCGUAAAGCUCUGUUAUUCGGGAAGAACACCUGUGUCCGUAACUGUGCAGAUCAUGACGGUACCGGAUCAGAAAGCACCGGCUAACUACGUG
rnacentral:rRNA from 1 species